GGGCACGGGGUUCCCUGGGGGCUCACGCAGGGGUCUCCUGCCCCAGAACUGGGAUCUGAGCACAGGAGGCCUGCAGACACUUUCAGGGCACAGGGGCGCUGGGGAGGACGUAGGAGACUCUGGGUUCUAGGACCCCCCAAAGGGCCCCUCUCCUCAGGGCAGGUGGGACACUCAGCCCUGGCUGAGACGGGGAAGGGAAGGCCUAGGAGGCGAGGGGCUGGCUCUGGCUCAGCGGCUUGGCUUCCUACCCGUGGAGUGGAGACACACAGGCCGGCGUUUCAGACCCUGGGUCUGAGGCCAGGCAGCCUGCUCCCCUUCUCAGCUGAGGUGGGGGCGGGGGAGGGGAGGCUCAGACGACCCGUCUCCUGCCCUCUGCCCCCCACAGACACACCCAGACCAGGUUGCACCUGGCUGCACCGCCCCACCUUGCAGGCUGGAGAGGAGCUGCUCCUGGGCUUGGCUGGGGAGCCCAGUCCACUUUAUCGUUAGCCAGCUGGGCAGCAGGCUCUGGAAGGGGGCGAGUUUAGAAAGAUGGCUGGGCACGUCCAGCUCUGACCACAGCCAGUUCUGGAGGCGCUUCCUCCGGCUCUACUCAUGUGGAAAACAAAGAAGGAAAACCCCAAACAUCCCCUUCUUCUUCUGUCUCGGGGGGUGUGCAAGGCCCCCUGAGCCCCCCGAGGGAAUCACAGGCCCCUCUGGAGCCUCAGAAAAGAGGAUCUGAAAGGCCACGAGGCCCCUCUGCACAAGGGUAGCUAGGGCCCUGAGUGUCAUGACCCGCUGGGCCACCGGCAGCGCCAGGGGUGGAAGGACUUGCCGGCCCGUGGCCUGGCACUGGUGACGCUGGGCAAGUCACUCCUUCCCUGUUGCCCCAGCCCGGGUUUACUCUGAAUGUGGGCAGGGGGUGCCAACAUCAUACGGAUGUUCUAACAGAGGUGUGCGGGGCCUGGCUCAGGGCACAGCUCAGCCCAAACAGGGGUCUGAGCAGCGGCUCUGCUCCAGGGCCCAGACCCUGUCCACAGGCAGGUGGGAAGAGCCCAGGUUCAGGAGUCAGACCAGCGGGGCCCCUGUCCCCGCUCUGCCUCAGUCCACGGCCUGACAUCAGGAAGCC
rnacentral:lncRNA from 1 species